rnacentral:rRNA from 1 species
GAUGAACGCUGGCGGCGUGCCUAAUACAUGCAAGUCGAGCGAACAGACGAGGAGCUUGCUCCUCUGACGUUAGCGGCGGACGGGUGAGUAACACGUGGAUAACCUACCUAUAAGACUGGGAUAACUUCGGGAAACCGGAGCUAAUACCGGAUAAUAUAUUGAACCGCAUGGUUCAGUAGUGAAAGACGGUUUUGCUGUCACUUAUAGAUGGAUCCGCGCCGCAUUAGCUAGUUGGUAAGGUAACGGCUUACCAAGGCAACGAUGCGUAGCCGACCCGAGAGGGUGAUCGGCCACACUGGAACUGAGACACGGUCCAGACUCCUACGGGAGGCAGCAGUAGGGAAUCUUCCGCAAUGGGCGAAAGCCUGACGGAGCAACGCCGCGUGAGUGAUGAAGGUCUUCGGAUCGUAAAACUCUGUUAUUAGGGAAGAACAAAUGUGUAAGUAACUAUGCACGUCUUGACGGUACCUAAUCAGAAAGCCACGGCUAACUACGUG